GUGCUCACUUUGGCAGCACAUAUACUAAAAUUGGAACAAUACAGAGAUUAGUAUGGCUCCUGAGCAAGGAUGACGUGCAAAUUUGUGAAGUGUUCCAUAUUUUU